GGAAGGGUCUUAAUAAGUCGUCAUGCCGAGCAAGAGUGAGGGUCUCUUUGUGACCUCAGUAGUGUACGUAUACUACUUCCAUCGCGUUCCUCCCUGGAGGGGAGGCAUCCUCCCCAGGACAGCCUGGUGUUUCAGCUGUGCUUGUUGCUGAUCAUUAUAAAUUCUGGGCAGCCUACUUUCUUGAAGCCUUCAGUCACUUCUAUUUUAGCAACACAGGAAACCUUAAAUCCAAGUUUGCGGAGACAAUGACAACAGUGUUGAAAUUGGCAGAGAGAGUGGCUGCAUUCCAAGCCAACUAUUGAGGCAACAUGAACAUUGGGAUUUUCCACAUGAUUCAAUUAGCACAGAUUUGGAAGGACAUUGAACCAGGACAGUCUUGAUCCCGCGUGGAACAUGAUCACUAAUUUCAACAUUCAAAAGAAUGAGCAUUACUUCCCAACCACAAAGGAUCCCCAAACUGGGAAGGAAUGGAUCUGCAACUCAUUUGUGAAUAAGCCAGGUGAUUCCACUUUGCCAUGCUUGAGGAUCAACUGCUUGAGACUGCACAUGCUGGUGGCCUUAAAAUUUUGAGAACAGCUGCUCUAUGAAGAUCUAAGCUUUGCAAGAAAGAGGAAGUAAGAGAGUAAUUUUGUAUGAUGAAAUUACUGUUCUUGUUCCCAGAAUACAAACACCUGGACACAAAGUAUUUAUAUAAGAAAAAAGAAAUAAGAUAGGUGAAAAUUAAAG
rnacentral:lncRNA from 1 species